CUGUCUCCUUUCCAUUUCCAUUCUUCAAAAGCUCCUGUUAAAGAGAAACUGUUUCUUCUGAUUCUAUCCUUUAGAGUAAUUAUUUUUCUCAUAUUUUCUUUCUAGCUAUUCCAUCUUAAACAUUUCUGGAAGAAUUUCUCACCUCAAUUUACCAACUCACUAAUUUUCACGUUGCCAAUAGCUCAUGAGAAUUUUAAUUAAAAAAUGAGCUUUGGAUAGCAGAUGUAAGAUUUUGAUGAAACAUCUCAGUAUCUUGGACUUGGAUAUCUCCAUUUUUACUAAAAAUUUUAAAGGACAUGUUUAAACGUGACACAAAUCCCUGGUGAACUCACAACUCUUCUGUUUAUAAUGGCAAUAAAAAUCAAGAUUAAAAAGAUAUAGCACAUAUUUAUAGCUAUACCUCGAACAUUCUCUGAAAAACAUCUUGACAUUGAAUGUUGCCGGCACAUUUUGCAUGGGAUGAACAAAGUAUGUCACAGAACUUCUGGAUUUUGUUCAGGGUCUCAGCAGUCCUGUGACUAUUGCCUGAGGAACAUAGAAGGAGUGCCAGAGAAUGAAAAGAGAGAGACAGAGAAAGAGAGAGACAGAGAGAGAGAGAGAGAGACAGAGAGAGAGAUGAUAGUCGGGAAACUUUACAAGAUGAAUUCAUCUUAAAGACAAAGAGAAGCUAGAAAGUCAAC
ensembl:lincRNA